rnacentral:rRNA from 1 species
AACGAACGCUGGCGGCAUGCCUAACACAUGCAAGUCGAACGAAGUCUUCGGACUUAGUGGCGCACGGGUGCGUAACGCGUGGGAAUCUGCCCUUGGGUACGGAAUAACUCAGAGAAAUUUGUGCUAAUACCGUAUAAUGUCUUCGGACCAAAGAUUUAUCGCCCAAGGAUGAGCCCGCGUAAGAUUAGCUAGUUGGUGGGGUAAAAGCCUACCAAGGCGACGAUCUUUAGCUGGUCUGAGAGGAUGAUCAGCCACACUGGGACUGAGACACGGCCCAGACUCCUACGGGAAGCAGCAGUGGGGAAUAUUGGACAAUGGGCGAAAGCCUGAUCCAGCAAUGCCGCGUGAGUGAUGAAGGCCCUAGGGUUGUAAAGCUCUUUUACCAGGGAUGAUAAUGACAGUACCUGGAGAAUAAGCUCCGGCUAACUCCGUG